rnacentral:rRNA from 1 species
ACACGUGGGUAACCUGCCCAUCAGAAGGGGAUAACACUUGGAAACAGGUGCUAAUACCGUAUAACAAUCGAAACCGCAUGGUUUUGAUUUGAAAGGCGCUUUCGGGUGUCGCUGAUGGAUGGACCCGCGGUGCAUUAGCUAGUUGGUGAGGUAACGGCUCACCAAGGCCACGAUGCAUAGCCGACCUGAGAGGGUGAUCGGCCACAUUGGGACUGAGACACGGCCCAAACUCCUACGGGAGGCAGCAGUAGGGAAUCUUCGGCAAUGGACGAAAGUCUGACCGAGCAACGCCGCGUGAGUGAAGAAGGUUUUCGGAUCGUAAAACUCUGUUGUUAGAGAAGAACAAGGAUGAGAGUAACUGUUCAUCCCUUGACGGUAUCUAACCAGAAAGCCACGGCUAACUACGUGCCAGCAGCCGCGGUAAUACGUAGGUGGCAAGCGUUGUCCGGAUUUAUUGGGCGUAAAGCGAGCGCAGGCGGUUUCUUAAGUCUGAUGUGAAAGCCCCCGGCUCAACCGGGGAGGGGUCAUUGGAAACUGGGAGACUUGAGUGCAGAAGAGGAGAGUGGAAUUCCAUGUGUAGCGGUGAAAUGCGUAGAUAUAUGGAAGGAACACCAGUGGCGAAGGCGGCUCUCUGGUCUGUAACUGACGCUGAGGUCGAAAGCGUGGGGAGCAAACAGGAUUAGAUACCCUGGUAGGUCCACGCCGUAACGAUGAGUGCUAAGUGUUGGAGGGGUUUCCGCCCUUCAGUGCUGCAGCUA